UACGUAGGGCGCAAGCGUUGUCCGGAAUUAUUGGGCGUAAAGAGCUCGUAGGCGGUCUGUCGCGUCUGGUGUGAAAUCCCGAGGCUCAACUUCGGGCUUGCAUCGGGUACGGGCGGACUAGAGUGCGGUAGGGGAGACUGGAAUUCCUGGUGUAGCGGUGAAAUGCGUAGAUAUCAAGUGGAACACCAGUGGCGAAGGCGAGUCCCUGGACAAAACCUGACACUGAGGCACGAAAGCUAGGGGAGCAAACAGG
rnacentral:rRNA from 1 species